GGCAGUGGCAGCUCAAUGGUUAAGGCAUUGGGCUACUGAUCAGAAGUUCAUGAUUUCAAAUCCCAGCACUGCCA